ACACUCCUGCGGGAGGCAGCAGUGGGGAAUUUUGGACAAUGGGCGAAAGCCUGAUCCAGCAAUGCCGCGUGUGUGAAGAAGGCCUUCGGGUUGUAAAGCACUUUUGUCCGGAAAGAAAUCCUUGGCUCUAAUACAGUCGGGGGAUGACGGUACCGGAAGAAUAAGCACCGGCUAACUACGUGCCAGCAGCCGCGGUAAUACGUAGGGUGCGAGCGUUAAUCGGAAUUACUGGGCGUAAAGCGUGCGCAGGCGGUUUGCUAAGACCGAUGUGAAAUCCCCGGGCUCAACCUGGGAACUGCAUUGGUGACUUGCAGGCUAGAGUAUGGCAGAGGGGGGUAGAAUUCCACGUGUAGCAGUGAAAUGCGUAGAGAUGUGGAGGAAUACCGAUGGCGAAGGCAGCCCCCUGGGCCAAUACUGACGCUCAUGCACGAAAGCGUGGGGAGCAAACAGGAUUAGAUACCCCAGUAGUCCCA
rnacentral:rRNA from 1 species